rnacentral:ncRNA from 1 species
UCUUAUCAAGAGUGGUGGAGGGAUGUGCCCAAUGAAGCCCGGCAACCGUCAAUUAAUUUGAAAUGGUGCCAAAUCACACAAAGUAGUUAUACUUUGGUAGAUGAGA